rnacentral:rRNA from 1 species
UACGUAGGGAGCAAGCGUUGUCCGGAAUCAUUGGGCGUAAAGCGCGCGUAGGUGGCCUCAUAAGUCCGCUGUGAAAGUCAAAAGGCUCAACCUUUGAAAGCCGGUGGAUACUGUGAGGCUAGAGUACGGAAGAGGCGAGUGGAAUUCCUGGUGUAGCGGUGGAAUGCGCAGAUAUCAGGAGGAACACCAAUAGCGAAGGCAGCUCGCUGGGACGUUACUGACACUGAGGCGCGAAAGCGUGGGAGCGAACAGGAUAGAU